ACAAGUCACUUAGAAUAAAAUUGCCAUUCAUCUAAAACAACCAAAAUCCUUACAUGCAAAUGCCAUCAAAAGGACUUUUCCAAGGCUUGUAAUGAGGCUGGGCUAACAAGAAGAAUUGGUUUUUCUGGAAUGCAAAGUCCUUGAGUUAAGAGAGCUAUCAUAGUAUUCAACAUUGAAGCACGACUCUCUUCCUCAACAAUCUCACUUAUUUCCAACUUUUUCCCUUUUCUUUUGUAUUGAGCCCAUCUUCAUGCUUUUCUUCUUUUCUUUUCUUUUUCUCGUGUAUUUUUCUUUCACAACAUUUGAGCUCAAUGCUUUUUCAAUUGCCUUUCAGUUUCUCCCAUGCAACCCCAAACUUGAACAUUUUCAUCACAUACAAUUAAGCUCAU
rnacentral:lncRNA from 1 species